UCCUCGUGACUGACCUCACUGUUAAAUGCAGAACACUGGAUCAUUAGGAGAAUUGGUUCGGGGCGGUGCAGAGUAAGCGCAACACAUCCACUACUGGAGGGAUCAAAUCUGUGCCAUCUGACGCUCAGGGAUUUAUGGGACCUGUGUGUAGAAUCUGACUGGAUGUGAUUGGAGGACUAUGUGCACUAUGCAGAUAGAUGCUGUAAUUGUGCUGAUCUCUAUCUGUUUAAUGGGUGCUGCUGGGAAGUCAGUCUACCAGAGGGGUUAUAAACCCGAGGCCUACAAGCAAAGCAGAUCCCGGAGGGAGCUAGAAGUGGUAGACGGAGGAACUCGCAAGUCUGGCAGGUCUGAAGAUUUUGCUUCAUUUGAUUUAAGUUGCACUUCCAGUGUAUCAAUCUAGCUAGAAACAGAGCUGCCUGAAUUAUUUAUGUUUUUGUUUAAACCAAAUAUGAUCUGUAUUAGAACUUUACAGUUUUAUCAGUGUUAUCAUAGUGAGUCAUUCAAUUUAUGUAGACAUAAAUAUCUAGGGGAG